GCAGUAUGCCCCUCUUCUAUAUCAGGUGAACAAAAGAUGCCGGUUUCUACUGGAUUUUGAGAAAAUUCUGAAGCAUGAACUUGAGAAUCUUAAACCUGAUGAUCAUCCUUUUAGUGGCCAAGAUGUGGAUUCAUCUGCUCUAGGAUGGGCUAUGUCAGCUGUUUCAUCUCGAGCAUUCCGGUUGUAUGGCGGUAAACGUCCUGAUGGCACCCGCAGUAAUGUUCCUAUGAUGCUUCCACUUAUUGAUAUGUG
rnacentral:misc_RNA from 1 species